UAGUAAUGCUCGAUAUAAUUCACUUUUUGCUAUUUUAUCCAAUGAUGCACCCGGAUUUCAAUAUGGACUCUUAUUUUGGUAGUACGUGAAAACCUUGACCCGGAAAAGGUUGAGCAGCUGAGUCAAAGACAGUACAGUAUUAGAAACUCUGUGGCUGUUGGAUGAGUUGGAUCCACUGAGGUAUAAUAAGAACGGUUUUGGCCGUUAUUGUAAAUAAUAAUUUGUUCUUAACUGACUUGCCUAGUUAAAUGAAGGUUAAAUAUUGUAACGACCCUGGGUUUAUAAACGCGGAAAUCAGCCCUGCCGCACGAGCAUGCUUUUGAGACACAGUCGAUAGCGCGCCGGACCUUGGGCUAGAGGGGCAAUAUAAAAAGGGAGGAUGAAGCGAGAGUUUACUCCCGUCAAAAUACUGUCCACAAUAAGCAAACCAAUAAGCCUUUGGGAUGACUACACAAGACUCUCUCGUCGUUAUAUACAGUAUCUUUGUUGGAUUAUUUUGGAAUUACCGAAGAUUCAAUCAAAUAUUCGCCUGUUCCUCUCUGAUUUACCGUCACGUCAGCAUCCCGUGGUCACAGCUGGCCACAAUUAAAUUGUAGUCUCUGGUUGUAAGUAGCCUACAUUUGUAGUGAUUUUUAUUUCUUAUAUUUACUAAACUAUAUAACAUAAAUAUAAAAUAUAUUUGUGAUGUGCUAUGUUUAUUUGUUUUUGUAUUGGAAUUGGAAGAAAAAAUAUAGAGGCCUAUAAUAAUGAAAAAACAAAAAAACAUUGACUUCCGUUGUUCCCCUUCAAAAUAAAAGCUCGCAAUGAAACGCUAUUUCUUUGGCGUGUACAAAAGAUUAGGAACAUGGACUCUACAAGGUUUUGAAGCGUUCCAAAUGGGAUGCCGGCCCAUGUUGACUCCAAUGGUUCCCAUAGAUGUGUCAAAUUGGCUGGAUGUCCUAUGGAUGGUGGACCAUUCUGGAGACACACAUGAAACCGUUGAAGUUCUUGACACACUCAAACCGGUGCGACUGGCACCUACCACCAUACCCAUUCAACGGCAGUUUAAUAUGUUGUCUUAUCUAUACACUGAGUGAAGUGGAUUUAAAUAAGGGAUCAUAACUUUCGCCUGGAUUCACCUGGUCGGUCUUUGUCAGGGUUUCCCAAACUCUGUACUGGGACCACCCGGGUACACAUUUCGUUUUUUGCUAAAGGACUACAGGGCUCAUUUAAAUAAUCAAAUCGUGAUGAUUAGUUGGCUAUUUGAAUUAGCUGUGUAGUGCUAGGGCAAAACCCAAAAUGUGCACCCAGGGGGGGCCCAGACAGAGUUUGGGAACCCUGGUCUAUGUCAUGGAAAGAGCAGGUGUUCCUAAUCGUUUGUGCACUGAGUGUACUUGCCGCCUUCCCUUGCCAGUCGGAACUAGGAAAUUCAGAAAUGUCAGACUUGCUAAGUGGUUGAACGUGGUGUAACAGUAUAAUUUUAAACCGUCCCCUCGCCCGAACCAGGGACCUUCUGCACACAACGACAACAGUCACCCUCGAAGCAUCGUUACCCAUCGCUCCACAAAAUCCGCAGCCCUUGCAGAGCAAGGGGAACUACUACUUCAAGGUCUCAGAGCAAGUGACGUAACCGAUUGAAACGCUAUUUAGCGCACACCGCUAACUAAGCUAGCCGUUUCACAUCCGUUACAGUGGCACGUGUAUAUAUCUACAACCAGUUAGCAAGUCAGACAUUUCUGAGUUUGCUAGUUACUACUAGCACAUGAAUGUGACACUAGAUACAAAAUAUUUUUGGGUGGAAGUUUUGCAUAGUGCAUAAUGUUAAAUUAUGAUACCUAAUUAUAACAACAUUGGGGAAAACUCAACUCAAGAGUAUUCCUACUUUUUAUAAGUUAAAUAAUAUAAUAAUGUGGAGCCUAUUGAGAAAUGGUUGGAGCCUAAGUAACCUUUAUGCAUGUAAAGAACAUAAUAGCCCAGCUGUAAAACAUGUUGCAGAUUCCUUAAUUAAGAGCAAUGUUGUUUUCUGUUGUUUUUUUUCAUUCAGUUUUUGUUUUUCUGUCUUCUGUCAGGGAUGUAUUGUUUGGUGUCAUUUAUCUGUCAGUAAAACUGAAAAUUCGUGAAUAAAAUAUAGGCUAUAAUAAUAACAAUAAUAGCCUACAUGUAAAAUAAUAUACAAUUAAAAUUAUAAAUAAUGAUUUUGAUUAUAUGGAUUAUUCUUAAUUUACCUGUGUUUAAGGAUGGAAUUUUUAAAUGUAUGUUGAAGCAUCCCACUUGGCACAGACGUCAAUUCAACGUCUUUUCUACUUUGUAAUAUCUGUCAUGGAUCCCUCCCGGGUUUUCAUUACGCACACCUGGCCCCUAUUCCCAGUGAUUGGUAAUUGUAUAAGUGUGUCCUUGGUUUACCAUUGUCCUAUUGAUUAUUGUUACAAUGUCCAUUGGUUUGUGUGAGUACCUGUGCUGUGUGUUUUGGCUUUCGUGCCAUUGUGGAUUGCGCAGAUGAUUACGGGUCCCGUGUGUUAAUUUAUUCGAGGAACUCCUCGCUCUUUUGUUUGGGUUUCAACCCUGUGUUUUGUAUAGUGUUUGUUUGGUCUUCAUCCCUGUGCCUUUACACGGCACUCCGUAAUUUGGCGGCAGAGAAGAAUGCCCAGACUCUGUCAGGACACACCUGCAACCCAGGCUGCUCUCCUAGCACCUCUCCUGCCAUUCCUGACCCCCAACGAUGCUGCAUCCCUCCCUCCCUCAAUCUGAGAAAGAAGUUGGCUAGAUGCUUUGAGAACCCAAAACAAGAGACUACCCUCUACUAAACACUGGAAUCAAAGGCAAGCAGGAGGGGAAACAGGCUUUGAACAUAACAAAACAUGUGGCAGUCCCCCAAAAGCAGCCCUUUUAAGAUCACUGUAUGGAAGGUAAAUAUUUUUGUCUGGCAUAUGUAGUGGCUGCAGGAAGCAUGACAUCUAUUUCUUUCUAGUCUUUUUUAAAAUUGUAAAACAUUAAUUUUUCCAUCUUUACUAGUAGUGUUAGUCUACUCUUUGUUAGAGGUGAGAUAGGCCUAACUCUUUCAGGGCGUUUCUUUAUUGAUUUGUGUUUUGAAUUUCAUUAAUGUGUAUCUUUACAUUCAGAAUAAACAUUUGCAAAUACACAUAAACAUGCUUAGUUUUUAGCUAA